UGGUAUGUUCAGCGUUACAAUGUGUUCAAUAAAUGGUGACUUUUGGACAUAUUAAUUCCCUAGAGCUACAGGCCAUUGCGAGGAAACCAUGGGCUGAAUUUUACCAGCUGACAUGUGCAAUGGUGAGACAGUUGGACAAUUACCUGUGAGAGCAGAAAAAUGAAGCUUUCAACAUAGAGAAAAUAAAGUCCGAUUCUGCAACCUGGUUUUGAACAGUGAGAUGAGAAUCGCUCAAGUGAGUGGUGAGGUACCUAUUUCCAUGCAUUAGCGUGUCAGUAGUGCCUAACCUCACGUUAUUGCUAUGCAGUUUCCAAUUCUCCCACGCAGUGGACUAGACGAUGACAAUGCCCAAUAGGAAAGUCAGAGUGGGUACCUAAGGCUUGCUGCUUUCACUUCUGGGCCUCCAUCCUGAACAUGCUCCAUGGGCAGUGACCGCACGCACAUCGCAUCCCCAGAACUUGACAUUGGCAAUGCUCUAACCUCACCACAUCACCAUGUGGCAGAGAGAGGUUGCGGGGAACUGUUGAGCGACGGAUCCGGUCCAUUCCUCAUGGCCGCGGAGGUCACAGCUUGAGCAAGUGUUCAAAUGUUGAUGAAUUGCGGUCUGUUCUUUUCCUCUAAUGUUUCGGUGGUAUCUGCAACAGCGGUGGAGUGAAUAGCCCCUUGGUCCUGAGGAGUUGAGAUGCGCCCUGGUGUUUGAGAGCUGGGACAGUCUCCUGGCUAUGGCGGCUGUUGAGUAUCGGUGGCGAUGAGGCAGCUUUGGCAGAGGCGGCAUUCUGGGCCUGGUCAGUGGCGGUGCGGCCUGCUUCAGCGUGCUUCCUACUUGGUGUCACAGCCUCAGGAACAGGUCUAGCGGCUGUGGAUUGCGGCAGCGUCCUAACUUUG